rnacentral:misc_RNA from 1 species
AAAGUCGUAACAAGGUUUCCGUAGGUGAACCUGCGGAAGGAUCAUCGUUGAUGAUAUCUGACCUGUGGGGUUUUUGAUACCCUGUGGGUUUAUUUUUUCAAAUCCCAACCAAAAGAAUAGGCGUUGACUGAGGUUUGUUUUGUUUGGAGAAAAGGACAAAACUUUCAACAACGGAUCUCUUGGCUCUC